rnacentral:lncRNA from 10 species
GCAGAGCUGGCAGGGAGAAGGGAGUACAACUGAGAGAUGGCAAGAGGCGUGGUCAUGGUCAAGCCCCUGUUCCAGUAGUUCCUGAAGGCAGACUGCGUCUGCAACCAUGCUGCCAUGUAUCUAUAGAGGAGGAAGUUUGUGCAACCAAAAUGCGGUUGGUUAACAACGUAAGUUUCUGUCACUAGCAACUAAAAAAUUCCUGACAAGAUACUAUCUCUCUAGCAUGUAGCAUGCUCUCCACCAACAACCUUCUCACCCUGCAUCUUAUUCUUCCCAUCUCCACUGGGCAGCCAAGACGAGAUUCCAAUUCCAAAUGAAAUUGUAUCCUUAAAACCCUUCUAUAUCUUUCUAAAAUCCCAGGAGAAAGUCCAAACUUUUCUUUGUAACAUACAAGGCCUUUCAGGAUUUUGCUCCUGCUUCAUUUCUCACCAUUCCCCUGCCCUCACCUCCUUUCCAUGACACUCUACACCUCAAGGGAGAAAAAAAUAAUUUCUGAACUCCCCUGGGCUCAUCUCCCUGUCACUAUUUUGUCUAAGUUCUCUCCAGUGGCUCACAAGUGGCUCUCCUGAUUAGCAUCUGCCUUGCUAUUUCCUACUCCAGAGGCAGAAGCCAAAGACUAUAAGGUCAGGACUUCAGCACACCCACAUAAAGACUGCUUACCUGGCUGACUCCCAAACAUUGUACCCUGUCAUUUCUGUCCACUGUGCUUUAAUUCCCUGGGACCCUGAUGCCUCGCUUCCUUCCUUCCUCUCUUCCUCUCCUGGUAACCCUAUUAUUGAAGGAUUAUUGUCCUCAUCCUGCCCUGUAAAAGCAUCUCAAGCCAAACUCCCCACAUCAUCUGCCCUGUGGCAUAUCUGAGAAAUACCAACUCCUGUCCAAGUUCAG